ACAGCAGUAGCCGCGGUAAUACGGAGGGUGCAAGCGUUAAUCGGAAUUACUGGGCGUAAAGCGUGCGUAGGCGGUUCGUUAAGUCUGUUGUGAAAGCCCCGGGCUCAACCUGGGAAUGGCAAUGGAUACUGGCGAGCUAGAGUGUGUCAGAGGAUGGUGGAAUUCCCGGUGUAGCGGUGAAAUGCGUAGAGAUCGGGAGGAACAUCAGCGGCGAAGGCGGCCAUCUGGGACAACACUGACGCUGAGGCACGAAAGCGUGGGGAGCAAACAGGAUUAGAUACCCCGGUAGUCCCUGUCUCUUAUAA
rnacentral:rRNA from 1 species